rnacentral:rRNA from 1 species
UGAGGAAUAUUGGACAAUGGGUUAGCGCCUGAUCCAGCCAUCCCGCGUGAAGGACGACGGCCCUAUGGGUUGUAAACUUCUUUUGUAUAGGGAUAAACCUACUCUCGUGAGAGUAGCUGAGGGUACUAUACGAAUAAGCACCGGCUAACUCCGUGCCAGCAGCCGCGGUAAUACGGAGGGUGCAAGCGUUAUCCGGAUUUAUUGGGUUUAAAGGGUCCGUAGGCGGAUCUGUAAGUCAGUGGUGAAAUCUCACAGCUUAACUGUGAAACUGCCAUUGAUACUGCAGGUCUUGAGUAAAUUUGAAGUGGCUGGAAUAAGUAGUGUAGCGGUGAAAUGCAUAGAUAUUACUUAGAACACCAAUUGCGAAGGCAGGUCACUAAGAUUUAACUGACGCUGAUGGACGAAAGCGUGGGGAGCGAACAGG